GGCCGAGCAGCGAAAUAUUUUUACGUAUAACUAGGAAGUUAAGGCCAACCGCUAUUAUAUGUAUAGGAAAAAAUUGUACAAAAUGUUGAGCUUUACGACAUAUUUUAAAAUCAUACAAAGCAAGAUUUCCAACAAGUUCACCAAAAUGGUUAUUUUUCUCCGAUUUUCUGCGGUUUCCGUGCAAUAAUACUAGCGUCGUUACGUUUCUCUAUUGGUGCUCUAACGAAUGACAUUCUUUUCACGAGGAUUCAUCGACUUCCAUAAGGUGAAACGUAUUCGAUAUUUAAUAUUUAAAUUUAAUUACUUUUGAAUUUAUCGUCCGUGUCUGGCGAUCAGAAAUUCCUUUAAAAGUGUGCCUGAUCACGCGGAUAUAAAUUCUAGUAUCUGUACGGAAAACUAGAAACAAGCAUGCGGUUAAAGAACUGGGAACUUUGAAAUAAUUGAAACCGCAUUCAUGAGAUACUCUAGGUAGGUAGGUUUGUCCGUGUCGAGAAAUCAAUGCAAAUACAACGAAUUUCAUGGCACCACGUGUCAAGAGUAACGAGUGUAGAGUGCGGACGCGCUGGACGAGUAUAAGCGUAGAAGAGGAACGUUAGGGUGAAAGCAAUGUUGGAAGGAUUGCAGCAGAAGAGGGUAUAAGGUAACAUACAUCACGUUCCCAGUUUAUGGUCCGAUACGCUCCUAGGAAUUGGCACCCGUGCUGAGCUUUCCCGCAAAUGUAAGGAACGUAGGGGUACGAAGCAACGAGAUACGAGGCGUUAUGGCUCUUCCUGGCUCGUAACCUCUGGUCAUAAAGCUACUGCACGCUAAAAUAUUGUCCGCCGCCACGUCUCCACGCCUACGCGUCUAUCCGUCGAUCUAUCUUAAUGCUAUUAUCGUAAUUUAUUAGUGGAGUUCCCGGAGAAUGAAUCGAUCCAUCGUAGCCGCCCCAAAAACGGAUCACGGAUAAUCUAAGACGAUCACGUUCGUAAUGAGACUAUUAAAUAAAAGCGAUACCAACUCAAAUUAGUUCACAUCCGUUUAAAACUACUAUUCGAAUAUCGUAUUUUUGUAAGGAAGGAUGGUUAUUAUCAAUCACGUAGAAUGCAAUACAGAACCACAUGAAAUAUAAUACAAAAACAAGUUACGUAUUUUCACUAUCUCUAAUUAUAGAAUCUUCUCUCGGUCAUUUUAGUUACUUUAGUUGCGCUCUUUAUCUCUUAUCGAUUAAUUAAUAAAUACACGAGAUCAAAUUAAUAUUUAAGAUUCAAAAUGCUUAAGCAGAACGGAGAUUUAUAAUAAGCCGACAUUUAGCAAAGUAGUAUACGGAGAUCUAUAUAUAGAAUUAAUAAAACUGUUAACUUAAUAAAACUCAUUAAUAACUGUUAAUAGUUGUUUUUAUAAAACGAAAUAUUCGUCUUGGCAACUUAAACUAUGCAAGAAGGAUGUUCAUCAAAUAUAUCCACAAGGACAAAAAACGGAGACUGCGCAAAAGACACUUAAAUAAUAUAGUGUUUCGUAUUUCGAAGAAGAUAUAAGUAAGAAUGACAACUUUGUGGAAGAAACAUUGUGCCAAUUGAAGUCCUCAUUCUCACACUCAGGAUUUAUAAUCAACCGUACAAAUUUAGUGAUGGUAUUAUUUGAUCUCUGCAUUGUCGCUAACAAUCUGCGUCGUAAUAAAUCAUUUCCUCGACAUUGAUUGAAAGCUUAAUUGCGCAAAAGACUGGCAAGUCUUAAAAUUUUUAAACGAUCCAAUUAUCGAACUGUCCAACUUGUUCAAAUGCAUUUAGUUUUACAAUUUAUAAUUUCAAAUUAUAAAUAAUAUUACGAAAAUAUUUUUACUGGCGCAAUUAAUUAGAAAUGAACAAAUAGUAUUUUUUAAAUAUUUUCAAAAUGGAUAGGCGAUUUUUAAACGGUUUGAAGAAAUAUAUAUAUAUCACAAUUGCUCAAGGCGUACACCAAAGCAAGACUGCGAUUUAAGGUGAUGCGCAUCCGCGAACGUACUUACACACAUUCAUAGACACGCUUACACACGUACGAUAUUAUUAUCUCGUGAUUCAUAGCGCGCAUUCAUAAAUGUUCCCAAGCUGUAUAACGGCACGGUACACAGCGCGCGACGGAUGGACGGACACGACCUGGCGACCACGUAUCCAGUUCUUCUUCGGGCGACCUGGUACAAUCGCUGACAAAAGUUCAUUAUAUCUUCGACCUCGACCAAAGCCCCGUUGAUGCACGUAUAUACAAUGUUCGCUUCGUUUCAGUUCGGAGUUACUAUUGUUGCAUUUUCAAGACGUAAGCGUUUUACACGAAGGUGGUAGUCCACGGUAGGACAUGAAACAAUAGAAAAUAAAACACGACAACGACACGACACGACAACGAAAAUUAAAUUUAAGAUGUAAGACACCGUUGUAUGAAUUUUUGUAAUAUAGUAAAUUAUUUAAAAAAAUUGUUGAAUAUUUGAUCGUUAACGAAAAAAAUGUGUUCAAUUUCUGGUUGCCGGUAAACUUUUGCACAUGAGUAUACGCAAGAAAGAUUGCCGGAUUGUGUGGCGUGCCGCGGCUGCCACCGUCCGCGCCACGAACGUCCAAAUGCUCCAGAGAAGAAGAAAGGGAAACAGAGAAGUAGGAGAGAAACCGAUCGGUCAAGAAAGAAAUAAAGACGAAAAGCUAAAUAGAAAAGAAAGAAGAGAGAAGAGAAGAGAAGGGAAAAGAAGGGAAAAGAAGGGUACAGAAGGGACGAGAAGAGAAGAGAAGAGAAGAGAAGAGAAGAGAACAGUGUUGCAGGCGUCCAUGGAAGGCACGUCGUGCAGAACGUCGGCGAACUCGUGUGUGUUCCGUGUUCCGAAUGCACGGAACAAGCGCUGCUUGUCCGCGGCCACCUGAGUUAUGAUCGCUCUGUGCCCACCCUGGCUGCUCGGCUGGCUGCUUGGCUGCCUACCUCCUUGCUUCCCUAACUGCCCUCUUCUUCUUCACCCUUCUACUUUCACAGCGGCCAUCUUGACUCCAGGAACCGGUUAGCUCCUCCGACUUGGUAUAUUCCACACGGUGAGUUUUACGGACACAUAUAAACACCGAAUGAACAGUGUUCGGAGACAUCAGCGACUGUAGCGCCCUCGGAAGUCCAUCCGAGUCUACUCGACGUUAAUGGCUCGUGUGGCGCGAGUUCCUUUGUACUGUUUAAUAACGUCGUUAUAUUACCAAGCACGGUCGUCCGGCAGAAUUGAUUUUUAAAUCCACUCGUUUCAAAGCACCGCCCCGAUUCGCUUGCCUUUGUCGAUGCUUUGAAACAUCGAUGCAUAGAUGCGUUAGUUAUCGAUAGUUGUUCUCCAUGCUCGUUUGAAGGAUCAAAGCGCGACCGCGAUUAUCGUUGCGUUGAGCUGGAGAAAUUUUAAAGAUAUUACAAAAGAAGAAAAACCACGGAUUGUUUCUCGCGAAACGCGUGAACCAGGAGAUAACAUGCUUUAAUAUUCACCUUCGCGCACGUCUCGAUAGCUGUGUAAGAUUUAUCUUUCAUUAGUAAGUCAUUUGCAUUGAAUAGACACGUUAUGGGUUAACGGGUGUCUCGUUAAUUGUUUGUUCCUGUUCCUUGUCUAACUGCUGACGCCGAUACUGGCGUGGUCUGACGCUUUGACAAGGUACACCGUAGAUAUUACAGCGGUUUGUAGUAUAGCAUAUCAAAUUGCGGUAUGCGAAAAGGUGUAAGAGAGCCAACCGCAGCCCACGGCAACGAGGCGUGGUCGCCGCAAUUACCUCGAUAGAGUUACAAGACUUGUUUUAUGCUCUCGCACAAAUUUAUUAGCCCCAUUCGCGUCAGUUUAAUUACGAAUAAGAUCCGCUGUGAUUCUUUCUCUUUUUCCUCCUUCUCUUUUUCCUAGAGGAAACGUACAGACGUUACAGCUACCUCUUCAUGAGGAUCGGGAACUUCAUUCGGGACCAGUGCAUCUAUACGUGUUACUACACGUACGAAAAUCCCAAUGAAUUAUACUUACACAGAGGCGCGCUUGAUAUCAAUCGCGUUCAUUUUAUACUAGACGCAUUCCUUGAAACUCCUGCGGUAAUUAGUUUUACCGCUAAACGCUUAGCGGAACCCGAGAGGCUGCUAACUGCUUUCCACCUACGCAACACCGCUUCGCUUCUUCCCUUCUCUACACCUAUUUUCUCUCUUUCUCUCUCUUUGCUCUUUCCGUCCUCAUCAUCGUUAUUCCGCUCGCUUUUUCUCCCUUUACUCCCUUGAAUCUAGGUACCGCCUCGUCGACUCUCUCGCUUCGCCGCUAACAGUGAGCAAUUAAGCGGAGCAAAGCCAAGGAAUAUGUAUUAUGAAAUUAAUUAUAUCGUGAUAUUGGAGUUGCGAGCUGGCGUGCAAGGUGUAGAUAAGCAUUUAAAUUGACACAUUCCUGAUGUAUCUUAGGCUGUGCGGAUAUCGCGUUUACGAUAAACAUUGAUUUUAUUACUGCUUCGACUGUAUGCUGCAGCAGCAAUAGCUUCUACAGCCACACAUGCAAAUAAGCAUUUUAUAUUUUGUAUUUGCUAAGUUAAUUAUUUUGAGUUCCAUGCACGAUUCUUCUUAAUAUCUUUCACCUGCGUUUGCAUAUUAUUUACAAAUUACAUGUAGACACUUUCUCCUAAUUCCUGUUACCGUAAGGAUUAAUAAAAAAAAAAGUAACAUUGAAAAUAUUGCGUCGCAAAGUUAGAUCAAGAUAAAUUUUCAUAAAUAUCGCUAUCGUUAAAAAAUUAUACUUUCUAUGGAAAUAAGUCAUGGAAAAAAUAUUGGAAAUAACGCGUGUCCUGUUUGUACUCGUAAACGGAGAUUCGUUAAAGGAAAGAAGAAACAGCGAAGAAUGUCAGUAAGCGUGGCGCUCGACAUCGAAUCGCAGCCCCUCCACAAACGUGGAAGACAAAUCGGCCCCGGUGGGUGCAAACGUCGUAAUUAUCGGAGGCGGUAAUCUCUCGACGUGGAAGUGGAGGAUGAGGAGAAGGAAGAAGAAGAGGCGCUCAGUGAAAACUGCGUGACAGAGUGGCUCGGCCUGUUCACCCUUGGCGUCCUCCGAGUUGGCGUACCCUUUUGCCCGGAGUGUCGGCCAUACAUUACCGCCGUUAGAGCCCGCCAGCACUAUAUUAUUCCCUGACACGGCGUGGCGUGGCGUGCCGUAGUAUGGUGCGGUGUGGUAUGGCAUGGCGUACUGUAAAACGACGCGGCGUGAGCAGAAGAGAAACGGAGAAAGUGAAAGAGAGAAGUUCGGGAAGGGGAAGGGGAAGGAGAGAGAGAGAGAGAGAGAGAGAAGCGGAAGAAGGAGGCGCAAAGAGGAUAGGGAUACAACAGAACGGUUGGGGUAGGAAGGGUGAAAGGCGAGAGAAUACGAAAAGAGAAAACAAGAGUAAGAAGGAGAGGAGCGGGGAGAGAAAAAGGGAGAAAGAGACGCGGAAGAAUUGGAGGGAGAUAGAAAACCGGUACACUCGACUGCUGAUAAACUACCCUCUGCGCUCACUUCGCAGGUAUAAUAAAAUUAUAUCUGGUCGGCUGUAUCGCGAUUCUGGCUGCGAGCGGCGAGGUCGGCACAAAGUUGCCGCCUGCGCGCCUACGGCGGCCGUGAUAAAUAACGUUACGCAGGCCGAGAAGCGGCGGGCUGCAUAAGCAUGGCCCUGAUUCCACGUCGCGGCACUUCUCGAGUCACGGCCACGCCAUGGUAAGCCGCACCGUGGCCACGCCGCACCGCGCCGUGCCACUACCGCGGCUGCGGCCAGCACGCGGACACAGACGUGUACCGGUGUACCACCAUCGCUUUCAGAACUGCUGCCGCCGCCGCUGCUGUUGCUGUUCCUGUUGCUGUUGCUAGACUAUAGCUGGAUUUCGAACGUGCAUACAAUCACAAUCUUUCUACAAGAUCCUAACACCUUUCCUAUGUGUAGCUCAAAGCACGUGGAACGUCCAUUUCGCUUCGUUAUACGCUCUGGCAAACGAGCGAACACGCCAAAGCCAAAAUCAACGCUAGAGGUUGAGCGCUGUGCACUUCUGUGCGCUUCACUCAACUCGUUCGUAAAUUAUAAGUCUUGGGGACAUGGUUCGGCUUGAAAUACUGGUACUGACACGCGCAGUGGGACGCGGAUGCAUAAACGCGCCGACGAACUGGAAAACGACGCAGCGGCUUUCGAACAGGGACGUCCGGAACGUUCGUUCCAGUUAGCGCGGAACGUCGUAUAUGCGACGUGAAUACGACAUCGCGUGACAGUCCACUCGUACACUCCGCUUCGUCGACUUUAUCGGACGCGAUACCGUGAUUCAGGCAUUCGACGAUGGUAUCAUCGCACGCCUGCCGCUUCGAGCAGGUGAAUUUAUUCCUUUUUCAAACUGACUUUAACAUGACCGCCAUUCUAGAUCGAUCUUUGUUAUAUUUCUUCCACCCGAUAUUUACGAGUCUUUGAAACGUAUCUAAAAAUAUAUGUGUAACUACAUAUUUUCAUACUUUAAUCGAUCAAUAAAGCUCCUUUCUCACAAACCUUAAGUAUUUUAAGGUUUAAAUCGAGUAAAUGACAAGGAAAAUUGACGUGUUUAAAAUUUUCUAUUUAAACUGACAUGACAUAUUGCUGGAAAACUGCCAAAGAAUCAUCCCACUCAUCAGCAUUUAAAGUACGUUGAAGAUGCAUUGCCAAACGUGCCAGUGAUUAACAGAUGCCGCAGUUGUUAGCAACUACCAAAUAAAUCGAGGCUUAUCACGGAUUACAUCUCCCCGAGGGGCUCUUACUUCCUACGAUGAAACUAGGAUCUAUACUUGGAUGCCAGAUUUCGAAUAUUAUACCUAGCCUGCCACUUCCCGCUGUCAUGGCUUAUGUCACCCUGUCUUUUCUUUACCUGUCAGGUAGAAAGACACAAUCUGUUCCCUAAUGGGAAAACUCCUUUGCUAGAAUAAAAGGGACCUUAUUUUCGUAGGAUUGAUAUCAAGCAAAUAUAUUAUAUUGUAAAAUUAGUAAUAUCUCUAAGGAAUGUUAUAGAUCCUAUAUCAACAAUAAACAGCGAAUAAUCCUUCGCAUUAAGAGAAUUUUCUGUGCAUAAUUCCGAAAAUAUUUUUAAGGUGAUAUUAUAUUUAUAGCAGUGAGUUUGGAAAAAAUACACAUCAGAACAAGCUUAACACAGUCAUUUCGAAAAUUCUUCUGUCAAACAUACCAAGUAAAAUGGCAGGCUAAAAGAGACUCGUGAAUGCAAUAUGUAUUACGCGCAUGAAGAUAAUAUAGAGCCUCAGGGAGGUGGUGGCUGACUGAGUUUAUUUCAAAAGACAACAAUAGAAUGCAUCGGUAGAGCGUAUUGUAUGCAGGAGGGCGUGGUAUGGUUUACAAUACCUGCUGCAUUAUGUAUCUCAUGCCCGUGGUUAUCUCUGUGUGUUGUAAUCCUAAACAACCAUCUAUACACGCACUUCAUGAGGUAGCUACAGUUCUAACAACAGUAUGAUUCACUUAUAGAUGGCCCAAAUCAUUUUUUAAAAUUAUUUACUCACUAUUCUAUCGAAUAUUGAUACUAUUGACGAAGUCACUUGAAUUAUUCCUUGAUAAGUUUCGAAUAAUAAAUUUUAUAUGGAGGAAUAUUUACUAGAGCGUAUUAGAUUUUGUCCAUAGAAUUAAAUUCUUCAUUUUGAAGUGAGAUAUGAGGCAGAUAUAAAAAGUGUUCAUAUUUUUUAUAGUAUUAGAAUUUCUAUAAAUGUCUAUAAAAUUUCUAUACACUUUCGAUAAAUAUUUGCGAAAGUGUACCAAAGUGUACCAGGCUUUACCAAGCGUAAAAUAAAAGCGUUCGCUGAAUUUAUUUACAUUCAUUUCUUCUAACUUUUAGGAUUAUUUCCUUUCAUGUUAAAACUCAUGAAAAAAGGUAAAUUAUCAGUCAUAGGAUAAAGGAGCGAUAAAACGACAAACGCGACUGCAGAUUAAUAUGUAUAAUGUAUAGUGCCCAAUUGUAUGAUAGUUUAAAAGAUUCAAAUCUAAAUGACCGUGUUAUAAAUGUUACCAUAAAACAACUGGACAGAUUCAAGCUUAUACUCGAUACUGAGCAAAAGAAUGAACUAAAGGAAUACUUCGACGGAGAAAAGCUACUUUUUACAUAACUUUUGUCUUAGAUUUAAGGCUUUUAAUAUUGCGAAUAUAAUUCGAGAAAAAAUCAUAUUCCUAAUUAUAACUUUGGUGUGAGUUAAUAUAUGUUGCAUUAAUCACUACAGCUCAUUAAUCACUAUUUAAUAAGUUUUGUGGAAUUUACCCGGAAAAGCGUUACCCGCUAAUGUCCGCUGUAAGAAGAUACGUUAUAAUUGCAUGGUACUGUUUGUAGUUAUUAGAAAGAAAAAUAGUAAAUAUAAAUGUUAAGUCAGACUGCUAGUUGAUUUCGUUCUUUCAUAAUGGUAUAAAAACAUCACUUUCCUGGUGUGAAAUAGGUAAUAUUUUAUUUUCUUAAUAGUCGCACAUUUAGUCAUAUAAAAAAUGCAGCAAAACGAGCAACAAAUAAUCUUAAUGACGCUAAGUAAGCUGUAAUAGAAAGGAGGAUAGAAGCCAGAAAAACGGUGCUUUGAGAAGCAUCAGAAAGGAAGAAAAUGGGUGUAUAAAUCUGGAGAGUCGGGAACAUCGUCUAGCAGCUGGUUUCCGUCACUCAUGCGGUUCCUUUGAUCUUCCACGCGUCUACCCCGCACUUAGGCGCGUUUUCUAACUUAAUUUCAACUCGGUUGCACGCCUAACACUGCUCUCAGUUGCAGUUUGUUUCCGUUGCGGCAGAAUGUCAAAGACACUGAGAUUUCGGAAUUCAUCCCAUCUCGUUUGCUCGAUGACAAAGGCGAACUACUAUGGCUUACGUUACACUUUCAUUUCUCCUCUAAUUAAGGCUCUUUAAGGUUUAUUACAAACUUUACCGUACAUGUAAUGUUUAACGCUAGUUACAAAUAUUCCAAAAAAUGUAAGAUAGAUAUA